UCCCCAGGACUUGAAAGGUACCUGAAGGUUCUUUUUGGAAUAGCUGUGGCCUUCCUUCUGUUGCUUCUUUUUCUUACCCUCCUCCUUCUCCAUUUCAGGCAUCAAGAAAAACGCAGAAAAAAGGUCCGGAGAGAGACCACCAGUGUACGACUUCUUGCAGAUGCCGUGGAGCCAGUAACUAGGGACAGAGGUCCUCAGAAGAGUUCGAUUUCAGCUGAUGAGAGAAAGAAGAUCCUGAAUAGAGCGAUGCCCAAGGUCUCAGUUCACAGGGCAACUGGAGAGGCUCUGGUGUCCAAACUCUGAAGACCUAAACCCUCACUAUGGAACCAGGAUAUCACUACACUCCCAUGCUUUUUCUACGCUUCUUCUGCUUCACACAGUCUGAAGAUGAUGUGGAGCUGGACAGUUGGGUGAGGUCCCUGUCUUCACCUGAAGUGCUAAGACUUAGAUCUCAAGCUCACCCAGAGGACCUUUUCACCUUUUCUGUUCUCUCUCUCUCUCUCUCUCUCUCUCUCUCUCUCUCUCUCUCUCUCUCCCGUUUUCUCCCUUGGGGCUCAAUAACAUCACAACUGACCACUCCAUCCUGCAAGCACCUUCCUCCUGUGUGUUAUGGCCUCACUCUUUCCAGGCUUUCUCAGCACCACAUUUGGCUCCUCCAUCCUUUCCCUUUCUGGCCUCUUGGCAUUUGUCUGGUUGUUAAUAUGCGUCUGGGAAUUUUAGAAGGUCAUGUGAAUAAAUGAGGCCAGAUGUUCCUAAUACCCCAGUCACUCACUCACUCCCCCAGCUAUUACAAGGCUCUCUGCCGGGGAUACAGUAGAGCAAAGAGCAAACUCCCUAGCCAUGAAGAGACAGCAUGCUAAUAAAUUCACAGUGUAUGCAAUGCAAAGUAUUUGUGGAAACAAAGCAGAGCAAGGAGUGGAGUGUGUGCAGCACUUAAUGGCUUGCGAAUCACAAGGGGUGACCCUGAGAGGUGUCAUCUGAGGGGAAUAGUGGAUGUAAAGGUCCAUACAUGUGGAGGGCCGCAACCACAUUCUCCAUUGCUUCAAGGGAUAAAGGUAGAGAUUGACCUCUGUGACCUCAAGGUGUGGUAGUACA